CAGACUUCUGGAGUGCGAUCAUAAUUCACAACAGACGAUUACAGUUUUCCUGUUAUCGCUCCAGUUUGCAGCACCAAUUUCGCGUUGAAGGAAAGUAUUCGAUCCUGCUUCAAAUACAGGGAGCAGUCGACAGGUUUAAAGUCCGGCAAGCAAUUCUAGAAUGAUUGAUAAAGCGACAUCAGAGAGCAAGACGUUAAAUAAAAAAUCCAAUUGAAGUGCAAGACACUGAAAAAAGAAAUAAAAACAGACAUAAAUUUUA